GGCCAGACUCCUACGGGAGGCAGCAGUGGGGAAUAUUGGGCAAUGGGCGCAAGCCUGACCCAGCAACGCCGCGUGAAGGAAGAAGGCUUUCGGGUUGUAAACUUCUUUUGUCAGGGACGAAGCAAGUGACGGUACCUGACGAAUAAGCCACGGCUAACUACGUGCCAGCAGCCGCGGUAAUACGUAGGUGGCGAGCGUUGUCCGGAUUUACUGGGUGUAAAGGGCGUGUAGCCGGGUUGACAAGUCAGAUGUGAAAUCCUGCGGCUUAACCGCAGAACUGCAUUUGAAACUGUUGAUCUUGAGUGCAGUAGAGGAAAGUGGAAUUCCUAGUGUAGCGGUGGAAUGCGUAGAUAUUAGGAGGAACACCGGUGGCGAAGGCGGCCUGCUGGACUGCGACUGACGUUGAGGCCCGAAAGCGUGGGGAGCAAACAGGAUUAGAUACCCCCGUAUUG
rnacentral:rRNA from 1 species